rnacentral:misc_RNA from 1 species
AUUCACUGAAAAAUGUUUAAAAUCGAUCCAGUAGUUUUGAUUUAUUCAUUACUGCCCGUGGCCCGCACGCGUUAACUUUAGAGUAAAAGCCGGCCGGAACCUCCGCAAACGCUACAUAUCGCAAUUUUUCAAUCUAUAAUAUCUUCAAAAAUAUUCAUUUAAGUCAUAUGCUGUAAAGGGCCAUAUAGAUCUAUAUUAAAUCAACAAUGUAUUUAAGGUAUUUAAUUGGAUAAGGAUUAAUGCUGUAUUGGUUAAAAUCGCUUCAAAAAUUAGCCAUUAUUUGUCGUAAAAAGUAAAUGACAAAAAAAUGUUAUUGUGGGAUAUCCAUAAGAGAUAGGUAUAUGCCAUCGCGGAGUUUUCUGUAGACCUUUUCAAUGUGUACAAUACUUAGUACAUUAUUUUGAUAAAUCUCGCAGGGUUCAGCCUGCGUUUGC